UACGUAGGCAGCGAGCGUUGUUCGGAGUUACUGGGCGUAAAGCGUGCGUAGGCGGUGUCUUAAGUUUGUUGUGAAAUCUCCCGGCUUAACCGGGAGGGUGCGGCGAAUACUGAGAUGCUGGAGUGCCGGAGAGGUAAGCGGAAUUCCUGGUGUAGCGGUGAAAUGCGUAGAUAUCAGGAGGAACACCUGCGGUGUAGACGGCUUACUGGACGGUAACUGACGCUGAGGCGCGAAAGCGUGGGUAGCAAACAGG
rnacentral:rRNA from 1 species